GCUUACGGCCAUACCAGCCUGAAUACGCCCGAUCUCGUCUGAUCUCGGAAGCUAAGCAGGGUCGGGCCUGGUUAGUACUUGGAUGGGAGACCGCCUGGGAAUACCAGGUGCUGUAAGCU
ensembl:rRNA 5S_rRNA 5S ribosomal RNA